CCCUGGUGGCUCAGAUGGUAAAGAAUUUGCCUGCAAUGCAGGAGACCUGGGUUCAAUUCCUGGAUCAGGAA
rnacentral:tRNA from 1 species